UACAGAGGGUGCAAGCGUUGUUCGGAAUUACUGGGCGUAAAGCGCGUGUAGGCUGCAAUCUAAGUCAGAUGUGAAAGCCCUCGGCUCAACCGAGGAAGUGCAUCUGAUACUGGGUCGCUUGAGUGUCGGAGGGGGUGGCGGAAUUCCCGGUGUAGAGGUGAAAUUCGUAGAUAUCGGGAGGAACACCUGUGGCGAAGGCGGCCACCUGGACGACAACUGACGCUGAGACGCGAAAGCGUGGGUAGCAAACAGG
rnacentral:rRNA from 1 species